rnacentral:tRNA from 1 species
GGCAGUGUUGCCUAGUAGAUAGGGCACUAGGCUGUGACUCAGGAGAUUUGGGUUCAAUCCCUGGCUCUGCCA